rnacentral:rRNA from 1 species
CAGCCGCCGCGGGAAAACGUAGGUGGCAAGCGUUAUCCGGAAUUAUUGGGCGUAAAGCGCGCGUAGGCGGUUUUUUAAGUCUGAUGUGAAAGCCCACGGCUCAACCGUGGAGGGUCAUUGGAAACUGGAAAACUUGAGUGCAGAAGAGGAAAGUGGAAUUCCAUGUGUAGCGGUGAAAUGCGCAGAGAUAUGGAGGAACACCAGUGGCGAAGGCGACUUUCUGGUCUGUAACUGACGCUGAUGUGCGAAAGCGUGGGGAUCAAACAGGAUUAGAUACCCCCGUAGUCCCUGUCUCUUAUAA